UGGGGGAUAUUGCACAAUGGGCGAAAGCCUGCUGCAGCGACGCCGCGUGGGGGAUGAAGGCCUUCGGGUUGUAAACUUCUUUUGCUCUGAACAAGGCAUGCCUUUGGGGUGUGUUGAGUGUAGGGGUUGAUUAGCGCCGGCUAACUACGUGCCAGCAGCCGCGGUAAUACGUAGGGCGCGAGCGUUGUCCGGAAUUAUUGGGCGUAAAGGGCUUGUAGGUGGCUGGUUGCGUCUGUCGUGAAAGCUCAUGGCUUAACUGUGGGUUUGCGGUGGGUACGGGCUGGGUUGGGUGCAGUAGGAGAGGGUGGAAUUCCUGGUGUAGCGGGGGAAUGCGCAGAUAUCAGGAGGAAUACCGGUGGCGAAGGCAGGUCUCUGGGCCGUUACUGAAGCUGAGGAGCGGAAGCGUGGGGAGCGAACAGG
rnacentral:rRNA from 1 species